rnacentral:tRNA from 1 species
CAUUAGGUAUCUUAUAUGUAAGUAUUGAUCUCUUAAAUCAAAUUAAGUAAAUUAACAAUUACUCUUAAUGG